AUUGAACGCUGGCGGCAGGCCUAACACAUGCAAAUCGGGCGAGCGGCGGACGGGUGAGUAAUGUAUGGGGAUCUGCCUGAUGUCGGGGGAUAACUACUGUAAACGGUCGCUAAUAACGCAUACCCUCAGAUGAACCCAUAUGGGAUUAGCUAGUAGGUAAGCUAACGGCUUACCUAGGCGACGAUCCCUAGCUGGUCUUAGAGGAGGAUCAGCCACACUGGGACUGAGACACGGCCCAGACUCCUACGGGAGGCAGCAGUGGGGAAUAGUGCACAAUGGGCGCAAGCCUGAUGCAGCCAUGCCGCGGGGAUGAAGAAGGCCUGCGGGUUGUAAAGUACUUUCAGUCGGGAGGCGUUACCGACAGAAGAAGCACCGGCUAACUCCGUGCCAGCAGCCGCGGUAAUUC
rnacentral:rRNA from 1 species